UAUUAACGCUGGCGGCGUGCCUAAUACAUGCAAGUCGAGCGAACGGACGAGAAGCUUGCUUUUCUGAUGUUAGCGGCGGACGGGUGAGUAACACGUGGAUAACCUACCUAUAAGACUGGGAUAACUUCGGGAAACCGGAGCUAAUACCGGAUAAUAUUUUGAACCGCAUGGUUCAAAAGUGAAAGACGGUCUUGCUGUCACUUAUAGAUGGAUCCGCGCUGCAUUAGCUAGUUGGUAAGGUAACGGCUUACCAAGGCAACGAUGCAUAGCCGACCUGAGAGGGUGAUCGGCCACACUGGAACUGAGACACGGUCCAGACUCCUACGGGAGGCAGCAGUAGGGAAUCUUCCGCAAUGGGCGAAAGCCUGACGGAGCAACGCCGCGUGAGUGAUGAAGGUCUUCGGAUCGUAAAACUCUGUUAUUAGGGAAGAACAUAUGUGUAAGUAACUGUGCACAUCUUGACGGUACCUAAUCAGAAAGCCACGGCUAACUACGUG
rnacentral:rRNA from 1 species